AAGCCCAUGAUGAUUAGCUUUAUGUUGGAAUUACCGUCAGAUAACCAAUGGAGAUAUUUUUGCGGCUUUCUGAGGCUUAAA
rnacentral:snoRNA from 1 species